rnacentral:lncRNA from 1 species
GUGACGUCUUCUUCCAGGAUUUCGUCUUCUUUGUCUUCUUGGGCCUUCUCUUCAGUGCAGUCCUCUUGGGUUUGUUGCCGUGAAGAUUGGCCGGUGUAGAUGAUGGUGCGCCUCCUUACCUUCAGUGGUCCUUUUGUGUCGACUUCCAAAGUUGCUUGGCGCUUCAUCCUUGAAGGAAUCGAGCUUCGAAUAUCACCUUUUCCUGCUAGCCUGUCGAGCUUUUCUUCCUUUGACGUUGUUUCCCUAUUUCCAGAAAACUUCAUGUUGUCUUCAAGUCUUUCCAAAGCUGACUGACGAGGAGGAGAGCUAGCUGUGUUGCUUUGCUUAUUAGGUUUUGACAACCUUUCAAAAAUAGAGCUUCGGGAGGUUGGCCUGUUAAGCCUCUUGAAGACGGAGGUUCGGUUUUGACCACCAAUGUGAUCAAGGGCUGACGUUCUAGGUCUUAAACGAUUCAUCCUAUCGAAGACUGGCGUUCGAGGGGUGGAUUUAGGCUCCUUUUGAUCUUGUUCAAUGCUCACACUGAUAUGUUGAGUGCUAGCAUUUUUCGCUUGGCUUGAAAUCUUCACGGGUGCAUUUGGUGUGAAGCCAAGUCCAGCUUUGUUGUUGUUAACUCCGUAACCAUACUUCUUCAACUUCUUUUGAGUCUCGGUGAGGUCACGUUCUUUAUUGUUGACGGUGUUUGAAACCUUUUUUCCAGGAUUUGAAGAAGAAACGAAGUCGUACCCAGCUUUUGACAUGAGUUUGUAGGCGUUCGGAUCAAAAACUUCUUCAGUCCUCUUGGUUGGGAGAAAACUUGGUUCCGCUCUCUUUGGUAGAGCUUUUACGAAGCCUUGUGGUAAUCUUGCAACCUUAGCGUUGCUUAGCUGUGUCAGAGGUAGAACUGCAUUCGUCUUGAGCAACUUUACAUUAUCCAUGUACCGUUGUGCAUCGACUUUGCUUGCUUCAGUUUCGAAUGGGGAUUGACCAUUCUUUCUUCUUGACAUCGGGAUGUAUCGGAAAACGGGUGUGUUUAAUACAUUUGAGGGCGUCUUACUCCCUUUGGUUGUUGCAGGUUUAGCAAGCUCAUCAUCAUUCUUGCUUAAAGACGACAUGGCUUCUUCUUCUUGCUUCUUGGGCAUGGCUUGCCACUCCUGCUUGUUAGGUGUUGCUUUACCCGUGGAUUUGAUCUCUUUUGGAAGAGCUUCGAGCACCAUGUCUUCAUCCAUGUAGAACUUGGCGUCUGCGAAAUGUGAUUCGGCUUCGGUGAAUGGUUUGGUGUCGCCAUAGAUCACCUUCACUCCUUCUCGGUAGAAUUUCAAGCAUUGGUGAAGGGUGGACGGUACUACUCCAUUUGCAUGGAUCCAAGGCCUUCCUAAGAGCAAGCCGUAGGAAGUUCUUGCAUCAAUCACGUGGAAUAUCGUGCUCGACUUGAGUUCACCAAUAGUCAUCUCUACUCGGAUCAUGCCCAUUGCUUUUUGUCCUCCUUGAUUAAAACCUUGAAUUAGUAGACGACUUAAGGACAGUUCAUCCACCUUGAUGCCGAUUGUAGUCAUUGUUGACUUUGGCAUGAUGUUUAUGGCUGAUCCACCAUCCACAAGCAUGCGGUUGACUUUGUGCUCCCUUACGUACCUAGAGACGAAGAGAGGACGGUUGUGAGGCUUCGAUCCUAGCAGCAAGUCUUCGUCGGUGAAAUGGAUUGUGUCUUCGAUAGCACAGCAUGUGCCAUAUUCAUGUGGCCGAAGUUUGAAGCCUUCGUUCUUACUUUCUUGCACUUCGUGGUCAUUGGGACUUUCCAAGAUUGCUGCUAAUGCUAUUCGCAUCUUCUUUGGUAAUCGCAGCGCUUCCUCAAUGGUAAAGUGUGGCAUGCAGCGAUAAUGCCCUGUUGGAAGAAGUCGUUCGGGAAGUACUCGUGUAAUAAGAUAGGAAUGCGUGGCUUUUGCUCCGUAGGUUCCCCAACAUACAUUGGCUUAUCAACUUUUACGUUCCUUUUGGGCUUCCCACUGUUGCGGGGACAGUGCUUUCUCACUUGUUCCACCUUUUGUCUUAUGGCUUGUGGUUUUGGUUUCCUUAUUUUUUUGUAGGUCACCAAUGUCCAUCCUUCUUCAUCAUCGGCAUGUGCAUCUUGUUCGUUUGCCCCGGUGAUGGUUGUGCAGAAGGUAUCGUGUAACUUGAGCGUUGAUAGGAAUGGUCAAGUGCUACUUGGAGAGGCACAGGAUCGAAAGAUCCAAAUGCAAUUGUAGUAGUGUGCGUCGCGGCCGUGUCUUCGAGGUCGAGCUCGAUUCGCCCUUGUUGUGCUAGUUUCAUGAUGAGCUCUUUGAGGACGAAGCAUUUACCCACAGGAUGGCUCACGAUUCGAUGGUACUUGCAGUAUUUAGGAUCGUUUAUGCGAUUCAUUUCUUCAGGCCGCUUGCAUUCGGGUAGCUCAAUUACCUUCUUUUCUAGCAAGUCGUCUAACAUUGCAUCCAUGUCUGAGUCAGGAAAAGGGUAUACCUUCUGCUCCAAUUCCUUCAAGGUGCUUUUGUACCUUUCUUGGGUACGAGGAGGCUCACUUUUCUUUAUCUCAUUUGCUUUGGUUUUAGAGGAGAUCUUGAUAGGCGUGGAGACGGUCUUGACGGGCGCAGUGCUGACGGUGAACGCUUCAUUGGGGGGUUUCUUCCCAGUCUUGUCUACAUUUGGGGAGAACACCUUAUCCUUCUUGAAGUCGGUGAUCGGCUCUUUCUUCCCGUGAUGGGCAAUACUUAGCUCCAUAUCGUGGGCACGGGUGGCUAACUCUUCAAAUGUUCGUGGUUUGAUGCCUUGAAGGAUAUAGUGUAACCCCCAUUGCAUGCCUUGGACGCACAUCUCGAUCGAAGAGAUCUCCGAAAGCCUGUCCUUGCAGUCGAGGCUCAGAUUGCGCCAUCGGUUGAUGUAAUCCACGAUUGGCUCAUCCCUCCAUUGCUUCGUGCUUGUCAGCUCUAACAUGCUCACGGUGCGGCGGGUGCUGUAGAAGCGGUUGAGGAAUUCCCUUUCCAACUGUUCCCAGCUGUUGAUAGAUUCAGGCUCCAGGUCUGUGUACCAUUCAAAGGCGUUUCCUUUUAACGAGCGCACAAACUGCUUGGCGAGGUAAUCUCCUUCCGUCCCUGCAUUGUUGUAGGUUUCGACAAAAUGUGCGACAUGUUGCUUCGGGUUUCCUUUUCCAUCAAACUGCAUGAACUUUGGUGGUUGAUAACCCCUUGGCAUCUUUAGGGCAUCAAUCUUCUUGGAGUAGGGCUUUGAGUAGAAUGAUGAGGUAUUUGAGCUCCCUUCGUACUGCGCCUUGAUGGUGCUGGCGAUCAUCUCUUGCAGUUGUUGGAUAGAAAAAGAUCCCAUGAGUGCCUCUGCUUGGCCUGGCUCCAGCUUCACAUCGAUUUUCUCCACCGGAGGCUCUUCAUCCUCGUUGUUUUCCUUUUUUACUGAACCAUUCCCUUGCUCGAUUUUCACGUCGGGCUUUACAUCUAGUUGAUUGACUAGUACGGCGAUUUGUUGGUCUUUUUCUUCCACAAUCCGUGUUAGCCUUGCGAUUGUUUCAUUCAUAUGAGCCAGCUGCUCAUCGACUGAUGUCGCUCCAGUAGUCAUGACUUGCAUGGCUGAGUUGCCUUUUGAGUCAGCAUCGGAAAGCAUGAAACCAGAGUACUUCCUUGGGCUUUCCUUCCUUGGCGCCUUUAGCGAAGCCAGGGUGAUCACAGGUUCGUGCCUCAGGUGCUCUUGUUCCUUCGGCGGAGUUGAUGCAGGGGUGGAAGAUGCGGCAGAAAGAGCUCUUGCCUUGCUUCGAGUUAUGAUGCCCGAAGUGACACCGCCUACGGUGAUAACGUUCUUGUUCCUUGCAUUGGCUGCGAGAACAACUUGAGCCUUCUUUGAUGCCAUUUGUGCUUUUUGCGGAUUCAAAGAUAGAGAUGAGAGGUAGAGAUGGUCCCACUGGGCGUGCCAAAUUUGUGAACACGGAAAUUCCCUGCGAUGAACGAGACAAGAAACACGUGUACAAAAUAAUAUUUGUAUUGAUGAUUUAGGGGUUACAAUCUCUUCUACAAAUUUAGCCUCUGAUUCUAUCUUUGCAAUGGGUGGAUUUGAUGUUGUUGGUCCAAAGGGCCGUCGGGGCUUGAUCUUGGGAUAAACAGUUGUGCAGAUUUGUUGACGUCGUGGAUCCAAAGGGCCGUCGGGGCUUGAUCUAAGGAUGAACGAAUGAUGAACGAUGAACACUUUCUUCAAGGGCCGUCGGGGCUUGAUCUUGAAUUGGUGGAAGUUCUUCAAGGGCCGUUGGGGCUUGAUCUUGAAUGAGGAUUUGACGAAGAACGAAGAGAGCUCUCUUGAUUCUUCGGGAUUUGCUUGGGAGCUUUUGAGUUUCAAAGCUUCAAGGUUUUAGUGUAAUGUGAAUUGGUUAUCAAUUGGUGUCCUUCAAAUGAAUGCCUUGGCCUUCUAUUUAUGGAAUUCCAAAACUUGAUUUUUUGGAUUUAAAUAAUUAGAUGGAAUAAAUCAUCUCUGCCAGGUGUUGACACGUGUCCUUGUAAACACGGAAUUCCUGCAAUGAAUGAGACAAGAACAACGUGCACAAAAUAAUAUUUGUAUUAAUGAUUUAGGGGUUACAAUCUCCUCUACGAAUUUGGCCUCUGAUUCUAUCUUUGAAACAUGUAGAUGUAGUGUUGUUGAUCCAGGGGCCGUCGAGGCUUGAUCUUGGACGAACAGAUGAUGAACGAUGAACACCUUCUUCAAGGGCCGUCGAGGCUUGAUCUUGAAUGGGUGGAAGUUCUUCAAGGGGCGUUGGGGCUUGAUCUUGAAGGAGGAUUUCACGAAGAACGAAGAGGGCUUUCUUGAUCCUUCGGGAUUCGCUUGAGAGCUUCUAAGUUUCGAGGCUUCAAGGCUUUGGUGUGGUGUGACUUCUCUUCCAAUUUGGGAGUAGAGAAAGUGUAUCUAAAAAAUCCUCCUUUGAUUCUUUGAUGGAGGAGCCUAUUUAUAGGCUUUGGGAAUGAACCACCACCAUCCAUUUGUUUUGGUGGAUGUUGUAGGUGAAUUGGUGGAUUGUUGUAGGUGAAUUUGGGUGGAGGUUGUAGGUGAAUUUGGAUGGAUUGUUGUAGGUGAAUUUGGGUGUAUGUUGUAGGUGAAUUUGGGUAGGUGAAUUUGGGUGGAGGUUGUAGGUGAAUUUGGAUGGAUUGUUGUAGGUGAAUUUGGGUGUAUGUUGUAGGUGAAUUUGGGUAGGAUUGUUGUAGGUGAAUUUGGGUGUAUGUUGUAGGUGAAUUUGGGUGAAGGUUGUAGGUGAAUUUGGAUGGAUUGUUGUAGGUGAAUUUGGGUGUAUGUUGUAGGUGAAUUUGGGUGAAGGUUGUAGUUUUAAUGCAAUGGUCAACAUUUAUUUCACUAAAAUUUCAAUGUUUACAAAUGUAAUUUUAAUGUGAUGGCUAACAUUUAUUUCAACGAAAUUUCAAUGUCUACAAAUGCCCCCACUUCAAGGCGCGUAGUAUACACAUGUGCUUGCCACGUGUAGAAGAUGCGUUUUGAAGUCCCUUAAUGUAGAUGUCGAUCCAAGGGCCGUUGAGGCUUGAUCUUGAACUGGUCUGGGAGUUUCUUCAAGUGCCGUUAAGGCUUGUUCUUGAAUUUUGUUUGAAAUUUCUUCAAAGGCCGUUGAGGCUUGAUCUUGGAUGAAAUUGGACCACAAGAAGCCUCACGUAGUAGACGAUCCUUGGCUUUGAUAAUGGAUGAAUCGGCACGUAUUUUGUUGUGCUUGUUGACUUUCCACAGCUUUGAUCUUGAACUAGGCUGGAGGAGUUUUCUGGUUUCCUCCAACGGACUUUCCACAGACUUAAUCUUGAACUGGAUUUGACUCAAGGGUGGUGGACACUUGAUCUUGAGUCAGGGUCGUUGAGGCUUGAUUUCGAACUUAAACAUGACCACGAGCAGUUUCAGGACAUACAUGCUUUGAAAGAUCAAGGAAGUUCGCAGCAUUUUCAUAUGAACCCUGAGCAGUUUGGUCAACAGUAUGAUCUUCAAGAUUGAUGGGCUCUUCUUCCAGUUGGUGACUUGAUCUUUAAGGAUUAUCGAGGCUUUGCUCUUCGGUGACGGUGCCAGCGAAGGGUUGUUAAAGCUUCUCGAGCCUUUUGGUUAGAGCAACGCUGUCCAGCUUGGAUCUUUACUUGAACUCAUCCGUCUGGAUUGUGUGGUUAUGCAGGGAAGGGCUUCAUGCUUCAUGAUUUAUUCCAGCUCGUUGUAUUGCAUUCUUCUCUGCUUGUUUCUUUUGCAUAGCUGAAGCGGUGUGCAACCUUUUGCCUUUAAAUGGUUCUUCGGAGCAUAAUCUCUCAGCGACUCACCCAUGCUUGGCAGCUUCAGUGCAAAGCGCCGAUGUUAACAGAUCCACACUCCUGAAGCAUUUGCUGAGGGGAUUCGAGACAUAUCAGCAGUUGAAGAUGAGCACUCGAGAGCAACGCUAGGUAAGUAACCAGGCAAAGGUUCCGGGCAAUCAGUUCCUGGUCGGACAUUUAAUUUCAGGUUCCGACUGAUUGCAUCCUUUCUCCUUGUUCAGCAGGCAAGAGCAAGGGCAAAUGAGAAGAUGGGGGAAGAGCAUGAUAUGAGAUACCUUUGCUUUCGACCCCAGUGAUAUGAGAUACUUUUGCUUUUGAAGAAGUAGCGGACGAUCAGCACAUGCAUUCGUCGUGCUUGUCUCCAUACGCUUCGAUGCAUAAUCUUCAUCUGCAUCAUCUUCACCUGCAUCAUCAGGAGCUUGAGUGGAGGUUCCGACAUAUUGCUUUCUUUAUCCUUGUCUUCGCAGUGAAGAGGGAGGACAAAGAAAAGGAUAGGGAGAAAGCAUGCUAUGAGAUACUCUUGCUCUCAACCCCAAUGAUAUGAGAUACCUUUACUCUGGUGUGGCUUGGUUGAAGAGGCGUUUCUAGGGAGGAAGAAAACUGAGUUUUGGUUGCAGAUGCCCUCGGCGAGGAAGAAAGGUCAGGCUGGAUGUGUUUUCAGGGAGGAAGAAACUGAGUUUUGGUUGCAGAUGUCUUCGGCAAGGAAGAAAGGGGUCAGGCUGGAUGCGUGUCUUGCUAUGGGAUGGAGGUCGAAUUAUAUGGUGAGCUCUCAACAUCAAGUGGCAGGGCGAGCGUGGCCUUGUCACCCACGCUUGUCGGCAGAAGUGUGGUAGUUGGCAUAAUGGACCUCACGCGUUUUCAACUUUGUCAGUGAUAUCUGACAAAGUUGCACGUGAUAGCCGAAAGCUGAGAUUGUGUCUGAAAAGUGUCGACGGACUUUACGCAGGAAAAUCCGGGUUUUGAAAUUCGGAGAGUGGUGUCUCUUCGAUUUACGAACGAAUGGUUGUGCUGCCUCUCAUUUUUAAGAGGUGUCAAUUGUAUUCAACACGCAAAAUUUGAAGAUUGCCUGCCCGUGAAAAAUUAUCUCUGCUACUCUUUGCUUCAUCCAACCUUUUUCUUUUAGUAUUUUUUGAAAAUGGCUUCCCCUUUUAAACAUUUGCUUAGAUUUGAGUCUUAGCAGUGACACAGGUGCACCGCGUCAGGGUAAUGUAUGGCGCCCGUCUUUUUUUUCUUCUAAUGGCCCUCUUACAGUUGAGGACUCUGUGAUGAGGGAUGCAACCACGGCUACGGUUGUAGCUAGAAACCUCAUCACUCCUAAAGAUAAUAGGAUACUUUCACGACGGUCCGAUGAGUUAGCUGUUCAAGAGUCCCAGGCUCUCAGUGUCCAGUGUGCGAACUCUGUUUCCAACAUGGGCCAACGCUUACUUGCUCGAACUCGCCAGGUUGAAUCAUUGACAGCCGAGGUGGCGGCUCUUAGUCAAGAGAUUAGGCAGCUCAAGCGUGAGAAUAGAGAGUUGCAUGUGCUUGCAAAUAGUUAUUCGACGAGCAUGAAGAGGAAGCUUGAUCAGCUGACGGACUCCGAAGGUCGAAUUCAAAGUGACCAUCGGAAGUUUGUGGAUGUAUUCCGGAGGCACUUUUUGCCUUCGUCAUCUGGAAUUCAACCAAGUAUUGAGGCUCCGAAUAAGUUAUCUUCAGUGCCUCCCUCCUUUAGGGUUCCACCGAGUACCAAGGCUCCAAGUACUGAGGCUUCACACAAGUGACAUUCGUGAAGGCUUUUUUUUUUUUUUUUUUUUUUUUUCGUGUAAUUUCUCGGAGAUAUUAAUGGACAUGCCUUAUUUUAUUCAGUAUGUUGUGUUGAAACGCAAACAAAACGCAAACAAAACGCAUAUCUGACUAAGAUGCAUUACUUCCCUAUGCACCCACUUCCUUUUAGAUGGUGACUAGUGCACCAAUUUCUUUUUAGAUGGUGACUGGAAGCAUCAUUUUGUCAUCACCACCCAUUUCCUUUUCCAUUAUUGACUUGCGAAUAGUAAUACACACUCGUGAGUGGCUUGACGAUAGCACAGUUGGUUUUUUUUUUUUUUUUUUUUUUUUUUUUUUUUUUUUUUUUUUUUUUUGCCUUCCUCACUGCAUUGCGUUCUUCUCGCAUGCGGACCAUCUUUUCACUUGCACAAUCACCUUACCACAAUCUUCAUUGGAUGCGGAUUGCUUUUUUACACAGUCACUGUAUCGCAUGCGGAUCACUGUUUGCACAGUCACUGCACUACAUGCAAACCGGUUUUAUUUGCAGCCUGUUGAGACCAAUAUAUAUAUACACACGCAUUCAUACACACAUGCAUACAUACAUAGGGCAUUGCAUAGUCUUUACAUAGACACUGUACCAGCUUACUGCCCUGAAUCUUAAAUGCACUCUCCUGUUUCUUUGCUGCGACGUGCUCUUCUCAUCUGCCGUGUGGUGAGCUCGGUGUUGGACAAAAAGUGGUGCAGCUUCUUCAACCCCAUCACCCUGCAGUCGGUCACGUCUAUGUUCAUCGUGUUCAUCCGAAGUCUUCACUGCGGCAGAGGAAAAGCUCACCAUCAUCAAAAUUAGGGCAGCAACAACAAACUUCAUUAUCCUGCAAGCUUCAGGGAGAGUUGCAUGAGAGUAUGAAGACGGAAGGAUGAAGGACUGCAGCAUGGUUGCUACAACCGCUCGGGCUUCCGUUUAUCGUCCUCGACGGCGCUGCAAAUGUUUCCACCAAUGGAGAAGAGGAAGGAGGGCGCUGCCUUCACUCUGUGAGGUAUGUUUUAUUGCUGAGGACGGUUUGCCGCAUAUAUAAAUAUAUAUAUAUAUUUUUUAUUUUUUAUAUAGUGCUCUGUCAGGCUGAGGUUGCUAAACCGGCGAAGAACCUAGGAAGGCAUCAAAAGUCUGCUCUGCUUGACUCGGUCAGAGAAAGUGAAUGCGAGUGCAGGUUCGAAUGACAAGGCCGAGUUGCUUUCCCCGUCUUCAACCGCUGCAGCUUCAUUCUUGUUGCUACAGGUUUGUCUUUGUUGUGGCUUGGAGAGAGAGACGUCGCUGCAAAGGAGAGAGAGAGAAACACCACAUCUGGAUUCAGAUUUUGUGCAUCUGCAGGUCUUCCUUUCGUUUGUGGGUGACUGUGCAACUUUUAUGAGAGGAAGAAGAAGAGUCAACGGAAAAGAAGGUGUUUGCGGACGAGGUCGCGUGGCUGACUUGGAGGUCCACUUGCUUCGGGUGUGCGCACCAUGUGUUGCAGGUGGGGUUUUGCUGUGUAAUGCCUUUUGGUCACAGUUUUCCCUUGGUGGUGACGUUGGCGUAGUGCUCACCUUUGUAAUAUGGCUUUGUAACCAAAUCAUUUCUUUAAAGAAAUAAAAUAUUCAUAUCUUGAAUUGCUAUUUAUUCUUCAAAGUGUUUGUGUUUUUGUUGGUGAUGUGACUGUACUUGAAGUUUUGAAGUUUCAAGUUGCCUACGUACCCCCGGUUGAUGAGGGAUCAAGUCAUAACGUAGUUCAAAUGAACGAUGAUUUUUUUUUUAUAGUGAUUUUGAUGAUGAUUUUGCCGUACACAGUUUAUGCUCUUGUGGGCCAGGAGCCUUGUGCCGUGUGCAGUUUAGGCUCAUGCAGGCUAGGAGUCUGGUCGUCGCCUUUUAGGGGUAGUAACGCUUCAAGAAUCUGCCAUUGAUGGGACCGAUCUUCAAGCCGUCCUCUGCCAUGAUUAAGUAGGCGCCGCUUAUGUAGACCUCUUGUAUUACGUACGGUCCAUCCCACUUUGAUGUGAACUUGCUUUUUGUCUUGUGAGUUGUGAUGAUAGGCCUUCGUAAUGCAAGGACGAGAUCUCCAGUUUGGAAAGACCUUGGGCGGACCUUCUUGUUGAAUGUUUUGGAUAGCCGUGCUUGGUAGCAUUCCAGGUGUUGUUGAGCUUCGAGCCUUCUUUCGUCAAGUGAUUCCAACUCUUGAAGGCGCAACUUUGCAUUCUCUUCAUCAGUCAAACCUUCUUGUAUAGCCAUCCUAAGUGAGGGGAUUUGACUUUCUAGCGGUAAAACAGCUUCCACGCCAUAUACGAGAGAAUAAGGGGUAGCUUGGGUAAGAGUCCUAUGCGUCGUCCUAUAUGCCCAAAGUGCUUCGCUUAUUCUUUCAUGCCAGUCCCUCUUUGUUCGGCCGAUCACCUUCUUUAAGAGGUUGCACAAUGUUUUGUUGAAUGCUUCCGCGAGACCGUUGGCCGGAGCAUGAUACAUGGAAGACUUGUGCUGCUUGAACUUGUAUUUCUCACAGAGCUCGUCUACAAGUCGGUUGGAGAACUGUUUUCCAUUGUCCGUGAUAAUGUAGCGAGGCACACCAUAUCUGUGGAUGAUAUGUUCUUUGAUGAAACGGACAACAGUUUCCUUUUUUACUUCCCUUAGGGGUAUGGCUUUCAGCCACUUGGAAAAGUAAUCUGUUGCAGCUAGGAUGUAGGCUUCUCCUGCAGAUGACUUUGGAGUAAUUGGUCCCACGACGUCCAGUCCCCAUGCAUCGAAUGGCCACGAAGCAGUUGUAGGGUUGUAAUGGUUCAGGUGGUUGAUGUAUGAAGUUGGCGUGGAAUUGGCAAGCUUGGCACCUUUUGGCAUGUUCCAGGCAAUCCUUCACCAUACUUGGCCAGUAGUAACCCAUUCUUUUGAGCUGGAAAUGUAGCUUUGGUCCAGAUUGAUGCGCCCCGCACACGCUUGAGUGCGCUUCUUCCAUGGCUUGAUUGGCUUCUUCCUCACCUAGGCAUCUCAGAAGUACUCCUUCGAAAGAGCGCCGGUAGAGUGUUUCUUUGUAGUAGAGGAAGCGAGGUGCUCGUCGACGUAUUUCAGAGCGGUGUGUCUAGGAUCAUUUGGAAGUUUUCCAUACUCUAAGUAGUCAAUCAAUGGUUGUCUCCAUUCUUCAACAUCGACUGGAAGUACCGAGAUGACAUUUGUAUCAUCUAGUAGCAUUUCGGUGGCGAGGGGGAUGACCCAUCUUUGGCAAACUGGCACGUCUGCCGCUUCGUCUUCUCCUAGUGUCAUACUCGAGGCUAGGUUAGCGAGAGCGUCUGCCAUUUUGAUUUUCUUUUCUCGGCACAUGUUCUAGUGUUACGGCCUCGAACUUUUGUAGCAGCUGAGUUGCCAGUCGGAAGUACGGGACGAGAUCGUCUUUUCUCACCUCAUAUUCAGUCAAGAGUUGACUAAUUAUGAGCUUGGAGUCGCCAUAUAUACCUCGAGGGUUGUGAUUUCCAUGUUGAUCGCCAUUUGGAGCCCGAUGAUUAGUGCUUGGUACUCAGCGACGUUGUUGGAGCACAAUUCGCUUAGUUGGAAUGAAUAAGGUAGUAUUUGCCUUUGUGGCGACAUGAAUACUACUCCUGCCCCCGCUCCGUCUGCUCGUGCAGAUCCGUCGAAGAACAUCGUCCAUCUCGGGAAUAUGUCAAUGUAGAAUACCUCCUCGUCAGGCAAGUCGUCUGAGAUUUUCCAAUCGGCUGGGAUUGGAUGAUCGGCAAGGAAGUCUGCUAAUGCUUGUCCCUUGACGGCUUUAGCUGGGACGUAAAUGAUCUCGUAUUGAUUGAGAAUCAACGCCCAUUUAGCUAGUCGCCCUGUCAAAACUGGCUUGGACAUGACGUAUUUAACCGGGUCAGCUUUAGCAACCAAGUGGAUGGUGUAAGCAUGCAUGUAAUGUCUGAGUUUCUGGAUGGCAAACACCAAGGCAAGGCACAUUUUUUCUAUUGGGGAGUAGUUCAACUCAGCGCCAGUGAGUGUUCGACUCAGGUAGUAAAGCGCUCCUUCUUUCUGGAAUUCGUUUUCUUGUGCCAAGAGUGCUCCCACUGAACUUUCCUGAGCGGCGAUGUACAAUAUGAGUGGUUUCCCAGGCACAGGCGCCCCCAGGACAGGUGGACUUGAUAAAUAUUUUUUUAUGCUUUCAAAAGCGUUGUGGCACGCUUCGUCCCAUACGAACGGACAUCCUUUUUCAUGAGUCGACUAAACGGUUGACAACGCCCUGCAAGGUUGGAGAUGAAGCGUCUGAUGAAGGCUAGUCGUCCUUGUAGACUUUUCAGCUCGUGCAUGUUUCUUGGCUCGGGCAUGUUUUGAAUGGCCUUGAUCUUUGAUUGGUCCACUUCAAUGCCACGGUGCUUGACAACGAAGCCGAGAAACUUUCCAGAGGUGACGCCAAAUGCACAUUUUAACGGGUUCAUCUUGAGGUUGUAUUUUCGCAGCCUUUCGAACACUACUCGCAAAUCCUUCAAGUGAUCUGAUCUUUUCUUUGUUUUGACCACCACAUCGUCUACAUAACAUUCUACGUUUUUGUGUAGCAUGUCAUUGAAGAUUUUCUGCAUUGCUCGCUGAUAUGUGGCUCCAGCGUUCUUUAGACCAAAGGGCAUCACCUUGUAGCAGUAGAUACCUUUUGGAGUGCGGAAUGCUGUUAGUUCCUCAUCUUCGAGAGCCAUACGAAUUUGAUUGUAUCCAGAAGAGCCGUCCAUAAAUGACAGUGCCUCAUGGCCAGUGGUUGCGUCCACCAUGAUUUCGAUGAUCGGCAAGGGAAAGUCAUCUUUUGGGCAAGCGUCAUUGAGGUCCCGAAAGUCUACACAAACACGUAUUUGUCCAGAUUUCUUAAGGACGAUGACGAUGUUGGAGAUCCACUUGGGGUAUUGCACAUCUCGAAUGAAGCCUGCUUCGAUUAGCUUGUCAAUCUCUACCUCAAUUUGUGGAAUGAGCUCGGAUCGAUAGCGCCUUUGAGUUUGCUUUAUUGGUCUCGUUCCAGGCUUAACUGCAAGAUGAUGUACAGCGAUGACAGGGUCAAGGCCGGGCAUUUCCUUGUAAGUCCAAGCAAAGACGUCUUUGUACUCUGAUAACAGUUGGUAAUACUCAUCUACCUCGUCUGCACUUAGCAGCGCACUCACGAAGAUAGGUUUCUGCUCCUCUUUUGUGCCUAAGUUGAGCUCCUUGAGAUCAUCGACCGUGGAUUGCCCCCCAUCCUCAAGUUGCGGUGGCGCAGCAGUGACAUCUUCUUCGGGGAUCUCAUCUUCUUUGCCUUCUUGGAUCGUGAUGUGGAAGACAUCUUGGAAUUCCUCUUCGGUGUCAUCCUUUCGGGUGUUGUGGUUACGAAAAUCUAUGUAAGCGCGGAGUUCCCCUGAUUUUUUAAAGGCAACAUUUAAGUUCCGUCCUGCAUCCAUGACCUCUUGAAUUAAAUCGGCUUCGUUUAUGUUAUCAAUCUCAGCUUCAUCUAUGCUUAAAAGUGUGCUACCAAUAGUUUCUUGCCCCCUUUUCGACUGGUGCAUUUGUGAAUGCGACGUAGGUUUCAUGUGUAAUUUCUUUGAAGUGACAUGAGUUAUUCCUUCAACUUCGCUUGACUUGGAGCAUGCCCCCAGCGAUCGAGGUGGCGAUUUUGAGUCGAAAGAGCCAGAAGCGACGUCUUCCUUAGGGAUUUCAUCUUCUUUGUCUUUAUGGAUCGUGCCGAGGAAGAUGCCUUGGAUCUCCUCUUCAAUGACAUCCUCUUGGGCUUGUUGGCAUGAAGAUUGUCCAGUGUGGAUGAUGGUGCGCCUUCUUACUUUCAGUGGUCCGUUUGUGUCCACCUCCAAGAUUGCUUGGCGCUUCAUCCUUGAAGGAAUUGAGCUUCGAAUAUCACAUUUUUCUGCUAUCAUGUCGAGCUUUUCUUCCUUUGACACUGUCCUCCUAUUUCUAAAAAACUUCUUGUUGUCUUCAAGUCUUUCCAAAGCUGACUGACGAGGAAGAGAGCUAGUCGUGUUGCUUUGCCUCUUAGGUUUUGACAACCUUUCAAAAACAGAGCUUUGGGAUGCUGGCAUGUUAAGUCUCUUGAAGACGGAGGUUCGGUUUUGACCACCAAUGCGAUUAAGUGCUGACAUUCUGGGUCUUGAACGAUUCAUCCUAUCGAAUACUGACGUCCAAGGGGUGGAUUUAGGCUCAUCAUGAUCUUGUUCAAUACUCACGCUGAUGUGUUGAGUGCUAGCAUUUUUCGCUUUGCUUGAGAUCUUCACGGGUGCAGUUGGUGUGAAGCCAAGUCCAGCUUUGUUGUUAUCAACUCCGUAACCAUGCUUCUUCAACCUCUUUUGAGUCUCGGUGAGGUCACGUUCUUUAUUGUUAACGGUGUCUGAAAUAUUUUUUCCAUGAUCCGAAGAAGAAGCGAAGUCGUAGCCAGCUUUCGACAUGAGUUUAUAGGCGUUUGGAUCAAAACCUUCUUCGGUCCUCUGGGUUGGGAGAAAGCUUGGUUCCACCCCCUUCGGUAGAGCUUUUAUGAAGCCUUGUGGUAGUCUUGCAACCUUAGUGCUGCCUAGCUGUGUCAGAGGCAAAACUGCCUUCGUCUUGAGCAACUUUACAUUAUCCAUAUG